rnacentral:rRNA from 1 species
GGUUAAGCGACUAAGCGUACACGGUGGAUGCCCUGGCAGUCAGAGGCGAUGAAGGACGUGCUAAUCUGCGAAAAGCGUCGGUAAGGUGAUAUGAACCGUUAUAACCGGCGAUGUCCGAAUGGGGAAACCCAGUGCAAUUCGUUGCACUAUCGUUAACUGAAUACAUAGGUUAACGAGGCGAACCGGGGGAACUGAAACAUCUAAGUACCCCGAGGAAAAGAAAUCAACCGAGAUUCCCCCAGUAGCGGCGAGCGAACGGGGAGCAGCCCAGAGUCUGAAUCAGCUUGUGUGUUAGUGGAACGGUCUGGAAAGUCCGACGGUACAGGGUGAUAGUCCCGUACACCAAAAUGCACAGGUUGUGAACUCGAAGAGUAGGGCGGGACACGUGGUAUCCUGUCUGAAUAUGGGGGGACCAUCCUCCAAGGCUAAAUACUCCUGACUGACCGAUAGUGAACCAGUACCGUGAGGGAAAGGCGAAAAGAACCCCGGCGAGGGGAGUGAAAAAGAACCUGAAACCGUGUACGUACAAGCAGUGGGAGCACCUUCGGGUGUGACUGCGUACCUUUUGUAUAAUGGGUCAGCGACUUAUAUUCUGUAGCAAGGUUAACCGUAUAGGGGAGCCGCAGGGAAACCGAGUCUUAACUGGGCGUUAAGUUGCAGGGUAUAGACCCGAAACCCGGUGAUCUAGCCAUGGGCAGGUUGAAGGUUGGGUAACACUAACUGGAGGACCGAACCGACUAAUGUUGAAAAAUUAGCGGAUGACUUGUGGCUGGGGGUGAAAGGCCAAUCAAACCGGGAGAUAGCUGGUUCUCCCCGAAAGCUAUUUAGGUAGCGCCUCGUGAAUUCAUCUUCGGGGGUAGAGCACUGUUUCGGCUAGGGGGUCAUCCCGACUUACCAACCCGAUGCAAACUACGAAUACCGAAGAAUGUUAUCACGGGAGACACACGGCGGGUGCUAACGUCCGUCGUGAAGAGGGAAACAACCCAGACCGCCAGCUAAGGUCCCAAAGUCAUGGUUAAGUGGGAAACGAUGUGGGAAGGCACAGACAGCCAGGAUGUUGGCUUAGAAGCAGCCAUCAUUUAAAGAAAGCGUAAUAGCUCACUGGUCGAGUCGGCCUGCGCGGAAGAUGUAACGGGGCUAAACCAUGCACCGAAGCUGCGGCAGCGACACUAUGUGUUGUUGGGUAGGGGAGCGUUCUGUAAGCCUGCGAAGGUGUGCUGUGAGGCAUGCUGGAGGUAUCAGAAGUGCGAAUGCUGACAUAAGUAACGAUAAAGCGGGUGAAAAGCCCGCUCGCCGGAAGACCAAGGGUUCCUGUCCAACGUUAAUCGGGGCAGGGUGAGUCGACCCCUAAGGCGAGGCCGAAAGGCGUAGUCGAUGGGAAACAGGUUAAUAUUCCUGUACUUGGUGUUACUGCGAAGGGGGGACGGAGAAGGCUAUGUUAGCCGGGCGACGGUUGUCCCGGUUUAAGCAUGUAGGCUGGUUAUCCAGGCAAAUCCGGAUAAUCAAGGCUGAGGUGUGAUGACGAGGCACUACGGUGCUGAAGUAACAAAUGCCCUGCUUCCAGGAAAAGCCUCUAAGCAUCAGGUAACAUCAAAUCGUACCCCAAACCGACACAGGUGGUCAGGUAGAGAAUACCAAGGCGCUUGAGAGAACUCGGGUGAAGGAACUAGGCAAAAUGGUGCCGUAACUUCGGGAGAAGGCACGCUGGUGUGUAGGUGAAG